rnacentral:rRNA from 1 species
AUUGAACGCUGGCGGCAUGCCUUACACAUGCAGGUCGAACGGCAGCACGGGGCAACCUGGUGGCGAGUGGCGAACGGGUGAGUAAUGCAUCGGAACGUACCUUUCAGUGGGGGAUAACGUAGCGAAAGUUACGCUAAUACCGCAUAUUCUGUGAGCAGGAAAGCAGGGGAUCGCAAGACCUUGUGCUGAUUGAGCGGCCGAUGUCAGAUUAGCUAGUUGGUGAGGUAAAGGCUCACCAAGGCGGCGAUCUGUAGCGGGUCUGAGAGGAUGAUCCGCCACACUGGAACUGAGACACGGUCCAGACUCCUACGGGAGGCAGCAGUGGGGAAUUUUGGACAAUGGGGGCAACCCUGUUCCAGCCAUGCCGCGUGAGUGAAGAAGGCCUUCGGGUUGUAAAGCUCUUUCGGCCGGGAAGAAAUCGCACGGGCUAAUACCCUGUGUGGAUGACGGUACCGGAAUAAGAAGCACCGGCUAACUACGUGCCAGCAGCCGCCGUAAGAC